CAUUCCUUCCUGCUUAGGUUUUUAAUUACAUUGCCAGUCUGGGCAAGAAUCUGCUUAACCCCCAGAAAAUGGCAGCCCUGGAUGUCAGCUCUGAUGCAAACUGCUCUCCCUGCCACAGCAUCCUGCCUCAGUUUCCCUGUCAUGUUCAUGGUGCUUCAACCUGAUAGGAAGCUGCCUGGGGAACAAACCCAUUCAUGAGAGGCUGGAGGAGGAUCAGCAGAGGGCCAUGGAGAGUUUGCUUCAAGAACAACGAAGGAAAGCUUUGGUGUUUCUGCUUUCUGUAUCCCCAAGGAUGCAUGGAAGGUGGUUGGCCAUCUAUUCAUGAGUCUCUGAGGUAUGCACAGAGAGAAACAGAGGGAUGAAGAAGUUUCCACACCCCGUUCUUGGUCUGACUGUAAAGAGUGGGCAGGAAGAUGGCGCCACAGAGAGGGAAGGCCAGGGAGACAAACGGCCGGGCUCUGUCCCCACUCCAGCUUCUCUUUGCAUGGACCCCUUCGCCUCAGCCCCAGCUCCUGCCUGCGCUGUUCCUCUCCGCCUCCACAUCCUCCAAGCUCAGAGGCCCUCAGUAACCCCGCCCUACCUGGGCCCUUCCAUCUGCUCCCCACUCCCCACUGCUGCCACCCACAAACAGACUUGUCACCCACUGGUUCACACUGGAGGUCCCUACAGCUGGGCAGAACUGAACUAAGGAACAGCAGCAGCAACAACAAGGAACAAUAGGAACAACAACUAACUAGAAAAAAGGAAGAUUUUCUUAGAGGAGUUGAGGGAGGUUAAGCGUGGGUACAGUGUUCGCUUUACAGCUAUUGUAUUAAAUUAAAUUCAUUUCAAACUAAGAAUAGUUUGCAAGGUCCCCGCAGUGACGUAGUAUUUAUUUUUCUAUAGAAAGCAAGCAGUGUGAAUGAUUUUUUUUUAAAAGCCAGGAUAAAAGAACAGUAUAAUAUGUCAGAAUACAAAGCUACAAUUUUUUUUUCCUAGAAAAAUGAAAGAUACCAAUGUAUUCAUGGAUGUUUAAAAAAACAAACAAAACUUCUCAGGAACGUGAAUGACGGUAUGAAGUGCCAGCCUUUUGUUUGAGAGCUAGGUUGGCUCCGUGAGGCAAGACAGAGUUGUGUUUACACUUUUGGCUCUGAGACACCCAAGCUGGCUGGCAUCAGAAGCCGUGCUGGCAACCCUGAUAUUUUCCAGAUAAAGAGACGGUGGUCUAAGCAGUAACUGAUGUUUACUGAGAGCCUCCUGUCUUCUGGAUCUUUGACUUUUAUUGACUCAAUUGGUUCUGCACAGAGGUGUUCCUCUCCCUGCUUCAGAGGAGCAGAGGAUGAGACGGAGAACAAGUCAGGGCCUUGGCUUGUGUUUCCCAGCAACCCAUAUGCCACGGCCGGAACUCCAGGUGGCUUCCCUCACCAUGGGCUCCAUGCUGGGGGACAACAGGCCAUUGGGUUGGGCCUCCAGGAAGGAGUGGAGAGAUGAGCCAGAGAAGGAAGACAGAGGGCUGUGCUAAGACUGUAGGUGCCCUGACUGCGCUUACUGUGACCACAGGCCACCAGGAAGCUUAGGGACAAUGCUUGUGAGGCCUUUUGAGAGGACAGUAAAGCCCCAGAGAAGCACUGUGCUUGCUGAUGCAAAGGCAGCUUGGGGGUCCUAGUCCAUCUCCUGGUUUCCACCUCCCACUGCAUCCUGCUCCCUCCAGGAUCCCUGGGGGAUGCUUGAGACCACAUUGGCUGUCUAUGGACUGCUUUUCCUGUCCAUUCAGAUCCACUGUCCUGCUUCUGCCUAACAUUUUCUAUAUUUUAUAAUAAAUAUAAUU